UCUAAUGGUCAUAAAUCUGCCACACACACAUCCACCCCCAGAGGAAGGGGCUACCCUGCCAUCCACAGAGUGGUCCCUGGUUUUUAUUUCUAGAAACACUGAAAAUGAGUUGGAGAACUGCUCUGCAACAUUCUCCAGAUUGAAAUAAGGAAGAUGAAGACUUCCCAUAGCUCCAAAGCCUACCCAGAGCUCCUAACAGCCAGAGGGCUUUGAGAUAAUAGGAGUCUGAUAGCUCAAGCAAAAUGGAAGCUUCCGGAACACUUAGGAGCAGGGGCCUGCCGCCUCACACACAGGUCAGGAUGGAAGCAUGUUUCAGCAAGCAUGAAGAGUCCAAGGGGAGAAGAACAAGAGUAAAGGUCACUUUCCAGCUGCAGAGAACGGAUCAGCAGUGUUUCUGCACAGGCACAUAUUGGUUCUGUCGUCUCUGCCCGAGGGUCAUGCGGCCCCAUCACAGAGACGCUCACACUUGUCCACAGACAGAAGCUUGGAGGCUGAAAGUAGAAAACACCGGAGAAAACUCUCUGGGGGCUGUCACCCUGUCGGAUCCCGGGACUCUGGAACAUCCCCAGUAACGAGAUGAACUCACUCCUUACAUAACGAUGGGGUUGUUCUUCAUAGCUGUGACAUCUUAGCCUUGAAUUAUGAUAAUAGGCUGUGUGAAAAUGCUAUUUUUGUUUUCAAA
rnacentral:lncRNA from 1 species